rnacentral:lncRNA from 1 species
AUUCAAAAGUCAGUGAGGAACUGUUUUAAUCUAGGUAAAUCACUUGGGUACAUUGCCAGUUUCUUCACCUGUAAACGGGAGAUGUAAACUUCAUACAAUUGUUAACAGUGUCUUACUUGUAUGAUAACAGAGAAGAAAGUAUUUAAACAAUUAUCAAGUAGGACAUCUGUGUCAAGUGGUAUAUUGAGUAUGUAAUUACUGUGUUCUUGGGCAGUCAGGAAUUAAAUUAUUUGUGUUGAUGUGUUUUAGUAAUUAAACACUUCUUGUAGAUGACUUUUGAUGGGAUAUUUUUCAUGGUAUAAAACUUGUCCUGUGUUUUCACGAUGCUUGUUUCACAAUAUCUUCAUGCCCAGAUCCAGUCUUGCAUGAAAACAGGAUAGACAAGUGCCUAAAUGCUCUUUUUGCUAUUACAGAACGCUCAAGAACUCAGAGGCCUCUAAAUUGCUCCAUGUUCAUCCUGAUAUGUUGGAAUGUUUUCCAAAGACUGCUGUUAAGUUGCUGGUAUUAAAAUUGCUGCAGAAAUUUAUACCUUGGGAUGUUUGCCUGUGGCAUGUCAGCUCACUGUAGUUUAUCUGGAGGACAGGGCCUUUAGGGACUAGGUUAUAGGUCGGUUAAGUUUUGUAGAAGGGAAGGUGGAACAACUCUAAAAUCUCAAGCAGUGUCAGGAAUUGCUGCUCUCGAUAGAAAUCCGUAGCUGUUAGCCUUGGGAAGCAAGAAAAUGAUCUCCAGUGGAGUAGGGAUAAUAUGACUAUUUUAUAGUACUUUUAGAUCCAGCCAUGUUUGAGCUCUUAAUCAUCAUGAUGCUUCUAUGGUUAUGGUCAUACUUGGCACUUGAGGACCAAAGAUUAAGCAUGAGUGGUUUAGCGAUACUUACAUGCUGCUUAUGUAAGCCUCUUCAAAAUGUUUCAUGUGUAUAAGAAAAAAAAAAAAAAAUGGAAGUUUUCCCAGUCUUAAUUGGGAGAACUGGGAAAAAAGAAAACGGGAUGUUAAUAAUGGCUAUUAUCAUGGUACAGUUGGCCUUUGGACAGAGUAUAAAGCAGUCAUUGAUGUGUCAUUUUUUUAAUGAGUUUGGAAUCCACUCCUUCCUCUUCACCCUUGCACUCUUGUUUAGUGUAUUUAGAAGCAGCUAGAUUAUAGAGGAAAUGGUAAAUUUACAGUGCUUUAGUCAAUUUUGGGAUAGUGGUGAUCAGUACAUUAGCAGUAGUUUUUGUUUUUUUUUUAAACAAAAUAUGAUCGUAUAGCUUUGAACUUUUAUAUUUGUUGACAUAAGGUGUAACAGCUUUAGUGCUUGAAAAGUCAGGUGCAUAUUGGUUUUAGCAGCUUUCAAGUGCAUUGCCUUUGCUUAUGACCUUUUCAAUUUCUAGAAAUAGUCAAAAUAACAUUUAUUAUGAAGUAGCAUUACUAUUGAAUUAAACAGACCUACUUUGGUCCUUGGUUGGCGACUGCAAUAUGAUGAUUUUAUGGAUCUCUAAUGGACUGUGUGUGCUGGUCAGGUUGCUCAUUCCUGGUACCUUUGUCUCUCUGAAUGUAUUUCUGGAAUGACAGCCUUACUUCUCUUCUGUGCCUAAUUCCUUCUUUGUGAAUCCAUGAUCUGUCCAGUGUUUUACUGUGGGAAAUAAUUGUAUACAUAAAGACCGGGCAGUACUGUGAGUUCUGUUUUAUUCUUUUCUCCUUUUUUGUUGUUUUGUUAAUCUUAAUUGUUUAAGCCUCUUUUAGAAAGUCAUAUAGUGAAUGGAAAAGGAAAAGCAUAGUAAUUAAAGGCUGUCUUUGAGUUGCUUGAAUGUGCUUGGCUGUCAAAAUGUUUUUACUCUGAGAGGAAGCCCAUCCUAGUUAGCAUUUUUCUCUGUUGAUUAAACUUUAGGGUUUUGAUUGGGUAGUACUUAGCAAUAAUUAUGUUUUUGAGUUGGGUCAGUGGUGGAGGAGAGUGGUGGUUCUGGUCUUCCAGGGUUCUGCCACGGGAGAUAAGGGGCAGCAGAGAUAAGAGUUCUGCAUAGGAUGUUGACACUGUUAUUGUGUAAGUACGUGUUCUGGGCAGUUCCAGGCUAGCUAGCCUUCCUUUGCACGGGUGGAAGAAGCAGUAAAAUCCAGACAGAAUAGGCUUUAGAAUCUGGAUAAGCAGUGAAGAGGACAAUGCUGUGGAAACGUUGUCCUGCUUUUCCUCCACGUGGAACAGAAAAGCAACUGUUGCCUAAACAAAUUUACAUUCAAACUUGUUCAGAGAAGAAAGAAAGGGGAGAGAUGUGUUUACCCAGCAGCAGUUCAAAGGUGACUCCGUUUUGUCUGUUGUUAGUCACUCUUAAGAACACCAUCUUUUAUUGACUUUUCUGUAGGAUUUACCAACAAAGCAGCUGUAUAGAACUGCCCAAGUUUCUCUCUGGGUGAGGGUUUUUAUUAGGAAGAAUAACUCGGUAGAUGUUUUAGCAAUUUAAAAAGCUCUUGUCUGUUCUUGACCUAAUGAAAGGGGAGAAUAGUUUAAUUUGUUGAGCAGCAGGCAUUGAGUGCCUCUAUGUGGAAAGGCUGGUAUCAGUUCUCUGCGGAAGGUGAGGUGCAGUCUGUGUUCUUGGAGAGCCUUAGCCUUGUAGGGGAGUCAGGCAGGGACGUCAUGGUAAUACAGGGGCCAUAAUACUGGGGGAGUUCAGAGGAGGAGGAGGAGGAGAGACCCUCAUUUCCCCAGUGAGUGAGGGGAACAAGCUUCAUAAAGCUGCAUGUAGGCCACGGUAUGUAAGCUGUGUCUUGCUAAGCAGGAUUGGGACAUACCAAGAGUUCUGCAGAUUGAGUCACGAGCAGGCCUUGGGGAUCACUUAGGAUUUUGCUGUACAUCUGAAACUAACAUAGCAUUGCAAAUCAGUUAUAGUCCAAUAAAAUUUACAAAAGUAGAGUAAAUGUUCUUAAUGGGAAAGAACGAUUUGCUAUAGUAUCUCGCAUGGAAGAAUAAGUAAUAAUAGCUUUUAUCAAAUGCCUGGCUAUGACCAUUAUUCUUUGUUCUAAUUCAUUUCCUUACAACAAUAACAUACAUAGUCAAUCUCGGAAGUAGGUACUGCUGUCAUGCCCACUUUACAGAUGAAGAAAUUGAGGUGCAGAUACGUUAAGAAACUUGUAGAAGGCUACACAGUUAGUAGACUUUGACCCCAGGCUGGUUCUGGAGAGCCCACCCUUCCUUGCCGUGUUAUCCUGUGGGAAAUGUAGCAGAAAUGGCCUGGGGUUUGUUCAUGGAGAGGGUCGAAUUGGAGCUGCAGCUGCCAGCCUACAACCACAGCCACAGCAACGCCAGAUCUGAGCUGCAUCUGCAGCCUAUACCACAGCUCAUGGCAACGCUGGAUCCUUAACCCACUGAGUGAGGUCAGUGAUUGAACCUGCGUCCUCAUGAAUACUAGUCGGGUUCUUAACCCACCGAGCCACAGUGGGAACUCUUUAAAGUGCUUUUGAGGUGCAACCCAGAGUACUAAAAAAUAAUACGUUGAAACUGCUGAUGCCUCCAAUGGAAAGCUUUUCUUCCUUCCUUCCUCUCCCCUUCUCUCUCUCUCCCCCCAAUGAAAAGCUUGCCUGCCUGCUUGCCUUGUCUUUUUAGGGCCACACCAGUGGUAUAUGGAAAUUCCCAAGCUAGGGGUCGAAUUGGAGUUGUAGCUGCCCACCUACAGCCACAGCAAUGCCGGAUCCGAGCCACAUCUGCAGCCUACACCACAGUUCUCGGCAAUACCAGAUCCUUAACCUACUGCGUGAGGCCAGGGAUCAAACCCACAUCUUCAUAGAUCCCAGUCGGGUUCAUUACUGCUGAGUCAUGACAGAAACUCCAAGCUUUUCUCUCUCACUAAGUUCAGAUUUAAAGUAAUCAUGUUCUCAGAAGCACUGAAUGGAAGGAGCAUUCUUCCCAAAAAUGGUCGAGGUCAGAGCUCACCAUUUACUGGCUGAUGACUCUGGGCACCAGAGGCCCUAGCUUUGAUAGAAGGAAGGACUCCAGGGGAGAUGUGUCUUGCUGUUGUGCAUGUGGCCUCUAGCCCAUAGGACUAUUGAUGUUUAAACAUAAGCUCCAUGAGGUUAGGGACAUGCUCUUGUUCCUUAAUCUUUAUCCCCGGGGUCUGGAAUAGCACUGACAGAUAGAAAUACAUACAUUAAAUUUCCUAAUUGCUAUGCUAAAAGAAAGAGAUUAUAAUUGUAAUAAUGUAUUUAACUCACAUAUCCAGAAUAUUAUGAUCUGAACACAUAAUCAAUGUAGAAAAAUUGAAAAUGUUAUUUUCUUUUGUUCACACCGAAUCUUCAAAAUCCAUUGUCUGUUUGAUGCCGACAGCACAUCUUAGUUUAGACUAGAGCUGUUUUGAAUGCUUAAUAGCACAUGUGACUGUUGCCUACUGUACUGGACAGGGCAGGUCUGGAAUGCGACCUGGUAUAUGGUAGAAACACAGUUAAUAUCUGCUAAAUGAAGGAAGGAAGAAGAAAGGGAGGGAGGAAGGAAAUGGCAAAACUUCAAACAAAGGAACACUCUUUUACUUGUUUUGGGAUGUCUUGUUUUGGAAAGUCACUUUCUUACAGCAGCUGAAAGAAGUAAAUGAUUACAUUAAAAAAAUCAUUUACAAAUGCGUUAUUAUCUCAUUGGUACACACCUUCAACAGCAUUUUUUUUGGUGUGUGUCUUUUUGCCAUUUCAUGGGCCACUCCCGAGGCAUAUGGAGGUUCCCAAGCUAGGGGUCGAAUCAGAGCUGUAGCUGCCGGCCUACACCACAGCCACAGCAACACGGGAUCCGAGCCGCGUCUGCAACCUACACCACAGCUCACAGCAACGCCGGAUCCUUAACCCACUGAGCAAGGGCAGGGAUCGAACCCACAACCUCAUGGUUCCUAGUCGGACUCGUUAACUACUGAGCCACGAUGGGAACUCCAACAGUAUUUUUAGAUAGGUCAAUCUUUACUGUUUUUAGUUUAAAGGUGGUCUCGUGGAGUUCCCUUGUGACUCAGUGAGUUAAGGAUC